rnacentral:rRNA from 1 species
GAUGAACGCUGGCGGCGUGCCUAAUACAUGCAAGUCGAGCGAACAGACGAGGAGCUUGCUCCUCUGACGUUAGCGGCGGACGGGUGAGUAACACGUGGAUAACCUACCUAUAAGACUGGGAUAACUUCGGGAAACCGGAGCUAAUACCGGAUAAUAUAUUGAACCGCAUGGUUCAAUAGUGAAAGACGGUUUUGCUGUCACUUAUAGAUGGAUCCGCGCCGCAUUAGCUAGUUGGUAAGGUAACGGCUUACCAAGGCGACGAUGCGUAGCCGACCUGAGAGGGUGAUCGGCCACACUGGAGCUGAGACACGGUCCAGACUCCUACGGGAGGCAGCAGUAGGGAAUCUUCCGCAAUGGGCGAAAGCCUGACGGAGCAACGCCGCGUGAGUGAUGAAGGUCUUCGGAUCGUAAAACUCUGUUAUUAGGGAAGAACAAAUGUGUAAGUAACUAUGCACGUCUUGACGGUACCUAAUCAGAAAGCCACGGCUAACUACGAG